UACGUAGGGUGCGAGCGUUAAUCGGAAUUACUGGGCGUAAAGCGUGCGUAGGUGGUUCGUUGUGUCUGUGGUGAAAGCCCCGGGCUUAACCUGGGAAUGGCCAUGGAAACUGGCGAGCUGGAGUCUGGCAGAGGGGGGUGGAAUUCCGCGUGUAGCAGUGAAAUGCGUAGAGAUGCGGAGGAACACCGAUGGCGAAGGCAGCCCCCUGGGCUAAGACUGACGCUGAGGCACGAAAGCGUGGGGGAGCAAACAGG
rnacentral:rRNA from 1 species